rnacentral:rRNA from 1 species
AGUGGCGGACGGGUGAGUAACACGUAAGAAUUUGCCUUUAGGAGGGGGACAACAACUGGAAACGGUUGCUAAUACCCCAUAUGCUUUCGAGUGAAAUGGAUUUCCGCCUAAAGAGAAGCUUGCGGCUGAUUAGCUUGUUGGUGAGGUAAUGGCUCACCAAGGCGACGAUCAGCAUCUGGUUUGAGAGGACGAUCAGACACACUGGAACUGAGACACGGUCCAGACUCCUACGGGAGGCAGCAGUGGGGAAUUUUCCGCAAUGGGCGAAAGCCUGACGGAGCAAUACCGCGUGAGGGAUGAAGGCCUAUGGGUUGUAAACCUCUUUUUUCAGGGAGGAAUAAAUGACGUGUACCUGAAGAAUAAGCAUCGGCUAACUCCGUGCCAGCAGCCGCGGUAAGACGGGGGAUGCAAGUGUUAUCCGGAAUCACUGGGCGUAAAGCGUCUGUAGGUGGUUAAAUAAGUCAACUGUUAAAUCUUGAGGCUCAACCUCAAAAUCGCAGUCGAAACUGUUUGACUAGAGUAUAGUAGGGGUAAAGGGAAUUUCCAGUGGAGCGGUGAAAUGCGUAGAUAUUGGAAAGAACACCGAUGGCGAAGGCACUUUACUGGGCUAUUACUAACACUGAGAGACGAAAGCUAGGGUAGCAAAUGGGAUUAGAUACCCCAGUAGUCCUAGCUGUAAACAAUGGAUACUAGAUGUUGA